AGCCUACUUCCAAACCUGCUAACACAUAGAGAAACCCAGACAUCUCUACAUCUUCAUCUUCACAGACAGACACUUGCAGCUUCUCCCCGGUCCCCGUUCAUGUCAACGAACUAGCAUAAUAUAGAAAUGAUUAUAUCACCACGAAAACCCUCACCUAUAGCGGUCUCUUAGCAUAUUAGUGAUAUAUGCAUAUAGGGGUGGCAAUUUCGGGUAACGGGUCGUGUUCGUGUCAGCAAUCGGGUCGAUUUCGGGUCAAGCUAAAAUCACUCAAAAUUGAAUAAAACUGAAAAUUGAAGUUAUUAGAAAUGAAAUUCUAAUUUCGGGUCAUUUCGGGUCCAUUUCGGGUCAAUCGGGUGAUUUUCGGGUCACUUUCGGGUUUCUGUCUCAGUAAAUCGGGUUUCGGGUUGGGUCGGGUUCGUGUCGGGUUUCGGGUCGUGUCUGAUAUUGCCACCCCUAUAUGCAUAACAGCCUUGUAUGCACCUAUCAUUCUACUACUUACCCCAUGUGUCUUGCCGUUUCUGUUUUCCGACCCACCACCACCGUUGCCAUCUCGUCCUCUCCUCCAUCACUCUCCUUCAAUCAACCCCACCAAACAUUUUCUCAAGAUCCCUUACCAAACCACGCAGAUUCUGCACUUUUUCCUCAUUUUCUUCAUCCAGGACUUCUGUCGAACACAUAGACUGUAAUGCUGAAGUUGAAGGAAUAUGGGAUUUUCCCAACUCUGGUGCCGCCACAGCUAAUGUGAACGCCUGGUCUGGAGCUGCUAUGUUCACGCUGUUGCUCGGAGCGUUUAUCGCUGAUUCGUAUUUAGCAUUAUCGACGAUCAUCGUUGCUUCGUUUCUUUAUAUUCUGUUUCAUCUAAAUCACCUCAAAGUUGGGGCAGAUAUCAUAAUUCAAAGGGCACCUUAUCAUGUAAAUAAUAAUUACAUGAGUAAGAAAUCUCGAUGUGUGGAACUCAACUUAAGCUUACUUGCUCGAAGCAAGCAUCCAACGUCUUUAUGUUGACUAUUCAGAAUCAGAAAUUAAUCUCAUAUAUGCUUAAAAGGAGGAUGAAGUUGCGCGUGCGACAAGGGAUAUCAGUUCUGAAGUUGUUUCAAAUUUGGUUCUGAAGAGGUGGAGGUUUAGAAGAAUCUCAAAUGUUCAAUAUAUUGUUCUUGCGUGAUCAAUGGAGAGUUACGAGGCUUAUUUGGCUGAUGGUUCUGAUGGCAGGUACUCCUUUAGUACUUGAGUAUGUUUUCAGGUCCUUAGCUUUUACCAGAAAUCAUUGUGUCAGAGAUGCCAAGUGAAAAAGAAAUUAUGCAUGAGACAGAUUUUUAGUGGUCCCAUAUAUAUGAUGUGUUCUAUUUAUCAAAUUUUAAUUUAUCUUAGGGUCUUUUUUUUAACUUCUGAAGGUAACUGCUCGUAAUGCGGACUAACUAUCAAAGAAAGUACUGUAUAUAAAAUAUAUAUAUGCAAUUCUGCAUAGUACAUAAUGCCAUCUUUGUCUGCUGUUCCAUUAUCUGAAAAACUUUCACCAUAAAUGGGUAAAUAUUCAAGCAGAAGUUGUUGUGUUUUCCCCAAUAUACAAACCUGAGUGUCACCACCCCAGAUACUCAUAUUGUGUGAUUGAAAUAUAUGUAAUAGUGUUAUUAAUUCUUUUUGUUUACAAGCCUUAGCUAGCUGCAUGUCGUUCCUUUGUUUUUGCCUUGUGGUGAUUGAGUAAGUAAUUUUUUGUGCCAAGUCUUUUUGUGUUAAAUACUCCUGUUGGAGAGCACGAUUGGAUAACCAAGUGGUGGGUUUAUCCUCUAUUCUUCUGCGAAACCUGGGUUCGGGUUUGACUCUGGCUCAUUCCGAGAAGUAUUAGUUUAGAAACUUAUUUGUAAGGCAUAUUAGCCUAUAUUGUCAAAAAAAAUUAAAAAAAUACUCAUGUUUGAACAUAUAUCAAAUCUUAGCAUUGGAGAUACUCUAAUCUUGAAUUAUAAGCAAGGGACGUAGAAAAACAAUGUCAAAACAAUCCUUCCUUCUUUCCCCUUGUUACAAAAUAUUUUCUUCAGCACAAGAAGUACGAAAAAACAUUAAACAACAAUCAAAGAUAUAUUUUAAACACUGAUUACAACUGAAGACCCUUGAUUCAUUUACAGACCUUUCUGUGAUACAAGGGUUCUGGGAAACACUUUAAUGGGGACAUUUCGAUGGCUGUAGUUCAAGCCAAUAAUUUACUGGAGGAUCAGAGUCAGCUUGAAUCAGGCUGUCUGAGCUUGAAUGAGUCAGGCCCGUAUUGUACUUCUGUAGGAGUUUAUGAUGGACAUGUGGCCGUGAGACAUUGCGUUUAUCAGUGUUCAACUCUUUCAGCUUCUAAAGAGUAGGUAUCUUUUCUUCAAAUAGAGUUUUAAGUCAUUGUAUUGGAUUUGUUAGUUUCUUACAAGAAAUAAGAUACCGUCAUGAUGACACAGUUGUAGCUGACUUGUUCCGUACAUGUUUUUGUUUUAGGCGAAACCCUAUUAAAAUUGACGUGUUCCUUAAAAAAACCGAGGAUGGUUCCAUUCAUGUAUGGGGAACCAAAUAAAAUGAACUUGUAAACAAUUGAGGAAUCAUUGAUGUGUAUGCUUUUAGUCUCUCUUACUUUUCUGAGGGUUUGAGGUUAGGUAUCUGUCUAUGUUUGGCAGAAUUUGCAUCUGAGCAUCAAUCCAUGUUAGAGGGGGUAAGAAAAGCAUUCUAUGCAACAGAAGAUAGUUUUACAUCUAUUGUUCGUGAGCCAAUACAACCACAACUUGCCGCAGUCGGGUCCUGUUGCUUGGUUGGAGUGAUAUGCAAUGGAAAUCUCUAUAUUGCAAAUCUUGGUGAUUCAUGUGCUGUGUUAGGCAGACUUGUCAAGGCAACAGGGGAAUUUCUUGCUAUUCAGCUUUCAGCGGAACAUUAUACAUGCACCGAGUCUGUAAGACAAGAGUUACAUUCUGUUCACCCAGAUGAUUAGCAGAUAGUGGUAAUCAUAUGUAAUUUCUAUCUACGGGUCCCGGAUCUAUCUUUCCAAAGUCGACAACUCAAAAAAUGUGUUGAUUGAAGGUACAUGGAGGUUCCAGUUAGUAUUUAAAGUUGAAAGAAACAGCCACCUACCCUAUUUGCCAGUUGAGGCUGCAAACUUGUUGGUUGUGGUUCUGCAGUACCAAGCUUAAAGGGGUCCAGCGAUGACCUUGCAAAACUUGUAGAAACUAAUGAUAAAUGGAUCUCUACUCGCACUGGUAUACGAAAUCGACAGGUUAUUUCAGGUUAGAAUUUUUUUUCAGUUUCAUGAUUGCUUUAAUAGAUCUGGAGAUGAACAAUUCAAAGUCCAUUAUGUGUAUUGUGAUUUAAAAGUGAUCUCCACUGCCCUUCCCCAAAAAUGUUUAGGAAUCAUGUAGCAGUCAAGUGCUAAUAAUCAGUAAUCAGUAUCCAGUACUUGACUCUUUUGUGAAACAAAUUUAGUGGUUGCUGCACAUUAGCAUAGUAGACUAUGUUUUGAACAAUGUUGCAUAUCUUGGUGCGCUUCAGAACUAGAAUUGAUCUACAACAACGUUAUCUAUUAGCAACCAGGGGCAUGGGUCUGGCCUAUUUAUAUAUGAUAGGCAGAUGGCUCGGGUACUUAAUUUUUUUUUAGGUUCUUAGUUCUCUUUCUACGGUCUGCUGGGAUUUAGUUUUUCUGGCACAAAUUAUCUUUGACGACUCUUUUGUACCGACUUAAUUUUUCAUUUUUUUGGUGACAAGUUAAGGAUGCUAUCCUUCAGUACACUAAGCGCCAGAGAAACUCGCCUAUUGUAUAUAUCACUUGAAUCAGCUUUCUUCCUUUAUUUGUUGAACCUGGUGAUUCGUAACUUGAUAUGCACCGUAAUAGAUAUGAUUAUUGUGCUUAUUAUGUUAACAGUUCAGACUUCUGAUAACAUUCCCCAAAUUUUAUUUGGUCACAUGUUACCAAAUUUCCAGCAUGAAGAGGCAAGCCACGAGCCACCUACUUCCAGGUGGUGCCAUUUUUCCGACAUGCAGUGUCAAAUUUACUUUGCGGUCAAGCCCUUGCAAUAUCAAAUCAUGUUUAAAGAUAGUAUAUGUAUUUUCUUUUUAUAAUUUAUCGAUACUAAAAAAUUAAAUAUUCAUACAAAUGAUGCUAUGAAUACAAAACUUAUUCCGUAUUAUGGAGAGCAGACCCGGUAUCUUCUAAGCCAAUAAGUUGUAGUUUAGUCCCCGACUUCAGCGUUGGUACAAGUUUGGGAGCAGGACAUCAAUUUCAUUCGGUUUUUAUCAUGGUCGAUGCUUUCUUGACUUUGUAUGGUGCAUCAUCGAGAAAUUAUAUGUUCCAUUAUCCUUCAA